CGGUUAUUUGGAGGCAUUGCCUGCCCAGUGACAACUGUUUAACGGCCGCGGUAUCCUGACCGUGCAAAGGUAGCAUAAUCAUUUGUUCUCUAAAUAAGGACUUGUAUGAAUGGCCGCACGAGGGUUUUACUGUCUCUUACUUCCAAUCAGUGAAAUUGACCUUCCCGUGAAGAGGCGGGAAUGCACAAAUAAGACGAGAAGACCCUAUGGAGCUUUAACUAACCAACCCAAAGAGAAUAGAUUUAACCAUUAAGGAAUAACAACAAUCUCCAUGAGUUGGUAGUUUCGGUUGGGGUGACCUCGGAGAAUAAAAAAUCCUCCGAGCGAUUUUAAAGACUAGACCCACAAGUCAAAUCACUCUAUCGCUCAUUGAUCCAAAAACUUGAUCAACGGAACAAGUUACCCUAGGGAUAACAGCGCAAUCCUAUUCAAGAGUCCAUAUCGACAAUAGGGUUUACGACCUCGAUGUUGGAUCAGGACAUCCUGAUGGUGCAACCGCUAUCAAAGGUUCGUUUGUUCAACGAUUAAAGUCCUACGUGAUCUGAGUUCAGACCGGA
rnacentral:rRNA from 1 species